GUAGCAAAUAAGACAAACCAGGGCCAUUUUUUUAAAACCUGGAGAGCUUGUUGUUAAAUAUUUACCAGCAUUCCACUGCUAGUAUUGUUAGAAUUGCUAAUUUCCUGCUGUUGAUAAUUGUACUAAACUAUGUAAAAGAUUAUCUUUGUUUUUAGUAAACAAAUCCUGAAAUAGUUAAGGGCAAAGAGGUUUUAUGUCUGCACCUUACUCAGAAAAUUUAUAUGGUUAUAUACACAUAAUCUCCACACAUAGAGAGAUGAGAGAAAGAGAAUGGUAAAGCAAAUAUGGUAAAAUAUUAACAUUUGCAGAAUUCGGAUGAUGGUUAUAAGGAAUUCUUUGUGUUAUUUUUGUAACUUUUUUGUAAGUCUGAAAUGAUAUAAAAUAAAAUGCUAAAAGAAGUGUCCUUGAGGCUGAAAUAAAGUGCUACAAGAAAAGGAGAAUGCAAAAGAACAAGUGAAUAGCAAGAGCACUUUCUUGAAAUGUUAUGCAAGGCAAUGGACAGGAACAUAGCCUGCAAUGUGGGGAAGGGGGUGGGUGGGAAGUAGGGGUGUGCAGAGUUGGGGUUGCCUUGGUUCAAAAGACAAAGAUCAGCUCUGCUAUUUCUUUUCUGUGGACUUGCCCACUAACCCUCUACGUGCCUGUUUCAUCUGUGAAAUGGGGUAAUAAUAUCUACGCUAAGCAGUUGUUGCAGCGAUUAAAUGAGUUAAUGCAUGAAGCAUCUCCGUUAGGGCCUGGCCCUUGGUGAGCAAUUGCUAUUGUUUUUGUAGUGGCUUUGCGUUUUUAAAACAGGGCAUCAAAGCUUCCAAGACCAGGUGCUUAGGAGAGAAAAAUGCUCUAUAAAUUUCAAAAUCUUGUUAAGUAUCAAGAACCAAAGCUGUAGGCUUAAAGAGUAUGCCACAACAUUAUGGAGUCUGAGACUGUAAGAUACAGAUACAAGAGCAGUUUUAAGUCAGGGCAAGGAAAUUAGAAAACAAGAACCAAAACGGAAGCUCAAAAGCCAAAAAUAAACCCCUGAUAUGACAAAGAUAUAUGGGGAGGAUUUAGAAAGAAGAGUCAGAGAGCUCAGAUACAAUGUGGAGCUUUAUUCCCUGCCUGCCCAUUCUCCGCUUCCCUGGAUGAAAUCUUUUUGAAUGUCAGUGAUGAUGCUAAUAUUUAUUGAACAAUACAAUAUGCCAGAGUGUUCUAAGUGCUUGACCUGCAUUAUCUUUUAUAAUUCUCCCUACACCUCACUUCCCUGGUGACUCAGGGAGUAAAGACUCUGCCUGCAAUGGAAGAGACCUGGGUUUGCUCCCUGGGUUAGGAUGAUCCCCUCGAGGAGGAAAUGGUAACCCAUUCCAGUAUUUUUGCCUGGAGAAUCCCCAUGGACAGAGGAGCCUGGCAGGCCACGGUCCACGGGGUCGCAAAGAGUCAGACACGACUGAGAGACUAAGCCCAGCACAACACCUCACUGUAGGUGGCAUUAUUAGCUCUGUUUUAUAAUGAGGACUUGGAUGCAGAAAUAUUAAUAUUAAGUAAAUUUCCCAGGUCACACACUUAAAAAGUGUUGGAAGAGAAUUAGAAUCCAGACAGUAAACUCCCGAGCCUGCACCGUCUCUGAUCAUUGGCCUUGGGAAAAGCUAGCUGCCAUGUUCUGGGAUGUCUUCAGAAUCUCUCUCGAGACGCCCAGAUGGUGAGGAACUGGGCCCACAACAACAUGAGUGACUUUGGAAGCAGGUCUCCUCCAGCCCCAGCUGAGCCUUCUGAUGACUGCAGCCCUGCUGACGUUGUUACCAAACAAAGGUUUGUGCGCUUGAUGCACAGUGAGGCCAGAUAAACUGAGACACUGGAGUCUGGACCAGGGAAAGGCUUAUUGCAGCGCCAAGCAAGGAAAACAGGCGGCCUGUGCUCAAAACCCCUGAACUCCCUGAUGGUUUGGGGGGAGAAGGUUUUAUAGGCAAAAUUUCCACUGUAUAUAUGUAUCUCAUCUUCUUUAUCCAUUCAUCUGUCUAUGGACGUUUAGAUUGCUUCCAUGUCCAAGGUUACACUAUUAUAUCUUCACCUUAUUUCUGGGUUGAUUCCCUUCCAUCCCUGAUUAAAGACCAAAUCUGCUCUUUGGAACUCAGGGAAGACCAAGGAGGUUGAAGUCUGUUUCUUACAAACAAGAAAUGAAGGACACAGAAGGGAUUUGUGCCUGGGAGACCCACAGGGUCCUGCUUGGUUUCAACAUCUUGACUUCAGCUUCAGGAGAGACCCCAGGUAACAACCACCCACCACCCAUAGGUUGCUCCUGAAUUUCUGACCAAUGGAAACUGAGAUAAUACAUGUUUUUUGUUUUAAACCACUAAGUGUUGGGAUAAUAUGUUAAGCAGCAAAGGGUGACUAAUACAGUCUAGCACCAAAAAAAAAAAAAAAAAAUGCUUCGAGAGAAACAGUGGUAUAGCAGAUUUGUGCAAAGAGAGCAUGAGGUGAUCUAUCUUUCCCCCAACAAAUAUUUUUGGUUAAGAAUUAAGAUCUGAGAGGGGAGCCCAGGACUAGGGUGACAGAACUCUAUGCUAGGGUCUGCAGAGUGGGCCGCCCACAUCAAGGCAACCAGACUCCAGGGUACGUCAGUUGAGGGCACACAUGAGAAGUGGUGGAGACAGAGACUGAUGCCCAAGAUCCAGAAGCUGAAGCCUCACUCAGUGCAGUCUUAUCUGAGACGCGUCAGCACACCGCUCCACGCCCACAAGCCCAGGAUGACUCUCUCAGGAACCUACAGCAUUUCAGGGAUGUUACUGCUGGGGAAAGGGCAUAAAGGUGACGAGAAAGAUGGGACAGUCUUGAGAGGCUAAAUUUUAAGCUGAAGAUGACUAAGUUUUACCUUGAAUGAAUUUUCUACCACAAAUUAGCAUUUGAGAAUAAAAUUAUUUCCACUAUGGAGAAA